rnacentral:other from 1 species
AGUGUAUCCUGAAAGCGAGGUAGCAUGGGGAAGGGACCAGGGGCCAGGGAGCAGCAAAUCUCCAGGCAGGGCCCCCAGCAGCUAGACCGGGGGUCAGGACAGCUGGAACUCCCGGCCUUGCUCAGGCAGCCUCUUCCGGCUGCUUUGUGUUGGGAGCAUGGUCGGUAGCCACGAUUAAUUCACCAGGGUCCCUGCCACUGAGGGUCGCAGAAUAAAGGUGAAGAAGGUUGUGCAAGGCCCACAAUGAGAUGAUGGUGGGGACCAGGCCCAGUGUGAACAUCACCCAGAGCCACAGCCUUCACGUCUCCUCACAGCAGAGCUG